rnacentral:lncRNA from 1 species
GAUGAUGGUGAUGGUUAAGCUCAGGAUAACGAUGAUGAAGAUGAUGGUGAUGGUUUGGCCAUGGUUAAGUUCAAGGUGGUGAUGAUGAUGAUGAUGAUGAUGAUGAUGAUGAUGAUGAUGAUGGUGGUGAUGGUUAAGGGCAGGAUUAUGACGGUGAUGAUGAUGAUGAUGAUGAUGAUGGUGACAAUUAAGCUCAGGAUAACGACGACGAUGACGAUGCUGAUGGUUUGGUGCUGGUUACGAUCCUGGUGAUUCAGGUGAAAAUGGCGGCGCCGGUCACAAUGACGGCUGUGGUUCCAAUCACCACCACACCGAUGGUUUCGCUCCCUCUUCCGGCCGUGACCACGACCACGGUCACCCAGUAGCCCAUCGUGGCUACCGGCGGUGACACUUCCUGUGUCCCCACCCCCAGGUUUCCCCUCCAAGCUCUGCACCCGCCCCGACCUCACCAAAUUCCUCACCAUGAUCAUCUUCCGCUGCUCCGCGCAGCACGCAGCCGUCAACAGUGGCCAGUACGACUUCGCAGCCUGGAUGCCCAACACCCCCGGGACCCUCCGGCUGCCCCCCCCCGGCCCCGAGGACCCGGUGACCCCCGACACCUUUUUGGCCACUUUGCCGUCCCCGAAGGCCACCGGGGCGCUGCUGGCGCUGCUCAGCGUCGUCAGCUACGAGGUCGGAGAGAGGGUGAGCGGGGACCGACCCUAAAAAGGACCUAUAAGAAACCCCCGUGACCCCAUAAAAACACCAGGACCCUAAAAGACCCCUGGGAAGCUGUGGGACACCAAAGAAACCCCGUGGGACCCCCAGGACCCCAUAGGAUCCCAUAGGACCACCAAGAUCCCAUAGGAUCCCAUAGGACUCCCAUGAUCCCAAAGGACCCCCAUGACCCCAAAAGAACCCCAAAAGAAGCCUAUAAGAACCCCUGUGACCCCAUAAAAACACCAGGACCCCAAAAGACCCCUGUGAACCUGUGGGACCCCGAAGAAACCCUGUGGGACCCCCAUGGCCCCAAGGGAACCCUAAAACCCCAUAGGAACCCCAGGACCCUAUAAGACCCCAUGGGACCCCCAUGACCCCAAACUUCCCCCAGGGACCCCCACGACCCCAAGGGAACCCCAAAACCCCAUAGGAACCCCAGGACCCCAUAGGAUCCCAUAGGACCCAGUAGGACUCCCAGGGACCCCCAUGACCCCAAGGGACCCCAAAGGGACCCCCAUGACCCCAAGGGACCCCAAAGGGACCCCCAUGACCCCAAGGGAACCUCCUGUGACCCCAUAGGAUACCCAUGACCCCGUAGGAUCCCAUAGGACCCCCGUGAUCCCAAAGGACCCCGUGAACCCCUGGGACCCCAAAGGGAGCCUAUAGGAACACCCUGUGACCCCAUAGGAACCCCAGGACCCUAUAAGACCCCUGUGACCCCGUGGGACCCCAUAGAACACCCCAAGGGAUCCCCAUGACCCCAAAGGACCCCUGUGACCCCAAAAGAACCCCAAAAGGAGCCUAUAGGAACCCCUCGACCCCAUAGGAACCCCAGGACCCUAUAAGACCCCUGUGACCCCGUGGGACCCCAAAGAAACCCCGUGGGACCCCCAGGACCCCAAGGGAACCCUAAAACCCAUAGGACCCCCAUGACCCCAUAGGAUCCCAUAGGACCACCAUGAUCCCAAAGGACCCCCGUGACCCCAUGGGACCCUAAAAGCAGCCU